GACAGAGGGUGCAAACGUUGUUCGGAAUUACUGGGCGUAAAGCGCGUGUAGGCGGCCCAGCAAGUCGGAUGUGAAAGCCCUGGGCUUAACCUAGGAAGUGCAUUCGAAACUGCUGGCUUGAGUUCUGGAGAGGAAGGCGGAAUUCUCGGUGUAGAGGUGAAAUUCGUAGAUAUCGAGAGGAACACCGGUGGCGAAGGCGGCCUUCUGGACAGUGACGUGACGCUGAGACGCGAAAGC
rnacentral:rRNA from 1 species